rnacentral:rRNA from 1 species
CCUACGGGUGGCAGCAGUGGGGGAUAUUGCACAAUGGGGGAAACCCUGAUGCAGCGAUGCCGCGUGAAUGAAGAAGGUUUUCGGAUUGUAAAGUCCUGUCGUAGGGGACGAUAAUGACGGUAUCCUGCAAGAAAGCUCCGGCUAACUACGUGCCAGCAGCCGCGGUAAUACGUAGGGUGCAAGCGUUGUCCGGAAUUACUGGGCGUAAAGGGAGCGUAGGCGGGAGGAUAAGUUGAAUGUGAAAUCUAUGGGCUCAACACAGAGCUGCGUUUGAAACUAUUCUUCUUGAGUGAGGGAGAGGCAGGCGGAAUUCCUAGUGUAGCGGUAAAAUGCGUAGAUAUUAGGAGGAACACUCGUGGCGAAGGCGACCUGCUGGAAUUUUACUGACGCUGAGGCUCGAAAGCGUGGGUAGCAAACAGGAUUAGAUACCCUAGUAGUC